GAUGAACGCUGACAGAAUGCUUAACACAUGCAAGUCUACUUGAACUUCGGUUUGGGUGGCGGACGGGUGAGUCACGCGUAAAGAACUUGCCUCACAGAUAGGGACAACAUUUGGAAACGAAUGCUAAUACCUGAUAUUAUGAUUUUAGGGCAUCCUAGAAUUAUGAAAGCUAUAUGCACUGUGAGAGAGCUUUGCGUCCCAUUAGCUAGUUGGAGAGGUAACGGCUCACCAAGGCGAUGAUGGGUAGCCGGCCUGAGAGGGUGAUCGGCCACAAGGGGACUGAGACACGGCCCUUACUCCUACGGGAGGCAGCAGUGGGGAAUAUUGGACAAUGGACCAAGAGUCUGAUCCAGCAAUUCUGUGUGCACGAUGAAGUUUUUCGGAAUGUAAAGUGCUUUCAGUUGGGAAGAAAAAAAUGACGGUACCAACAGAAGAAGUGACGGCUAAAUACGUG
rnacentral:rRNA from 1 species